rnacentral:lncRNA from 10 species
GCGAACAGGUCGACUUCCGAGUUUGGCGGGGCCUUUGUCUCUCACUGCACCUGGAGCUCCAGGUCUCAUCUUCACUACUCUGUGUCCUCUGCUGCUGGAGGCCCAGCCCUGUGACCUGACGGUUUUGGGAGAUCCACAGCUAAGACGCCAGGACCUCCUGGAAGCCUAGAAAUGAGUUUUCGCUCUGUUGCCAGACUGGAGUGAGGUCCUACAGUUGUGCAGCCGCGCGAUCUGGGCUCACUGCAACCUCCACCUCCCGGGUUCAAGCAAUUAUCCUGCCUCAGCCUCCUGAGUAGCUGGAACUACAGUCAUGUGCCACCAUGCCCAGCUAGAGAGGUUUCACCAUGUUGGCCAGGAUGGCCUGGAUCUCUUGACCUCGUGAUCCGCCCGCCUCUGCGUUCCAAAGUGCUGGGAUUACAGGUGUGAGCCACCGUGUCUGGCGCCUCUUUUUCUUUUAUUUUUCCAGAGAACUUACCGGAAUGUUUUUGGGUCAAGAUUACCCUUUGGAAACUUUGUAGGAUGAUGUGUCCUCAGCCAACCUUCAGUUUUUUUCUGGUCCUGGGUUUUAGUACUUUCUGGGAAUAAACCAACAUACCCACUAUGGCUAUGUCUGCUAGAGUGUCUAGUGACUAUUAUCUCUUGGGUCAUUUUCUCCCAUAGGACCACCUGAAGCAUGGAGUGUAGACUUUCAAGGGAGCAGGUGGCAGCCUUGGGGCUGAAAGGCAUCUUCUGGUGCACUUUUUUUUUUUUGAAAAGCUAACCCCUUGAGACAUGAAGAUUGUCUUCACUCAACCUGGCUUUCAUUUCUAGGAGACACAUUGCUGGUCAGUCAAUCAGAUGCUGGUAUUGAGGGGAAAACAAAUAAUUUCUGUCUUCUGGAUUAUCUUGUGGGAGGGGCAGAAAAAUAGUGAAAAAACACUCCAAAAGACAAAAAACUGACCCCAGUGAGAUGGCAUAAAUAACUUACAAAGUAAAAUGCACCUGGGGCACUCACUGGGGCAUAGUGCAGUGUCUCCUGGGAGGGUGGUUAUUGCGCAUGUAAGUGAACAGGAUGGGGUGGGUGAUUGGAUCUGUACCUUGAAAAGAUUUGUUUACUUAUUUUGACCUCAGUUUUUUUUUAGACAGUCUCCCUCUGUUGCAUAGGCUGGAAUGCAGUGGCUUGAUCUCAGCUCACUGCAACCUCUACCUCCUGGGUUCAAGUGAUUCUCCUGCCUCAGCCUCCCGUGCAGCUGGGAUUACAAGCAUGCAACACCAAGCCUGGGUAGGUUUUUGUAUUUUUAGUAGAGAUGGGGUCUCACCAUGUUGGCCAGCUUGAUCUUGACCUCAGGUGAUCCACCUGCCUCACUCUUCCAAAGUACUGGGAUUACAGGCAUGAGCCAUAAACACUGUAUUCUACAAUCCUAUGAAUAUUAAGCCACAAUACUUACUUUGAAUUAAUCGCUUAAAUGGUUAUUUUAUUUAUACUUUUGAAAUAUAAAGUGUUUUAACUGAAGUAUAGUUGCAAUUUUUUUUCUUUUUCUUUUUUUUUUUUUUUGAGACGGAGUCUUGCUUUUUCAGCCAGGCUGGAGUGCAGUGGCUUGAUCUUGGCUCACAGCAACCUCUGCCUCCUGGCUUCAAGCGAUUCUUCUGCUUCAGCCUCCCGGGUAGCUGGGAUGAGAGGCGCGCUGCACCACGCCAAGGUAAUUUUUUUUGUAUUUUUAGUAGAGACGGGGUUUCACCAUAUUUGCCAGGCUGGUGUUGAACUCCUGACCUGGUGAUCCACAUGCUUCGGCCUAACAGAGUGCUGGGACUACAGGUGUGAGACACUGCACCUAACUGUAGUGGCAAUUUUUUUUUUUUUGAAACAGAGUUUCGCUCUUGUUGCCCAGGCUGGAGUGCAAUGGCGCGAUCUCGGCUCACUGCAACCUCCGCCUCCCAGGUUCAAGGGAUUCUCCUGCCUCAACCUCCUGAGUAGCUGGGAUUGCAGGCAUGUGCCACACCUGGCCUAGCUAAUUUUGUAUUUUUAGUAGAGACAGGGUUUCUCCAUGUCGGUCAUGCUGGUCUCAAACUCACGACCUCCGGUGAUCCGCCUGCCUCAGACUCCCAAAGUGCUGGGAUUACGGGCAUGAGCCACCAUGCCCAGCUAUGUAGUUGCAAUUUUUAAAAAUACUGAAUACAUUAUGACCGGUUCAUUAAAAUUAUUCAUACUUAGAUCUUUAUAUCUAAUAUCCAAAGAAAAUUUACUACCAAAUUUUUACAGUAGAUAUUAGUGACAAGUUUAUUGCUUUAUUCAAUAGGGAAAAUUGUGAGUAAACACAAUUUGUGUAUCUUUUAUUUUACUAAAUUGGAAUGCUGUUAUUACAGGAGACAGGUGAUGUGGCCACCCAAAAACCAUAAUAGCUCUGCAGUUAACGAUGUUGCCAGUUCUAAUAUGUUCCACUAUAUGAACACAGUCAGUUUCUAUUUCUUCAUCAAAAAGUGUUGUUGAAAGUUGUCAGAUGUAUUUCAAUAUAGAACCCCAAUUUAAUGGCUAGGAGAUGACAGACCAGCAAAGAUGGGAAAAAGGCUAUAAAAUUCUUCUGAAAAACUGCACUUUUUUUUCAUAAGGCUCAUGUUUCUCAUGCUGAGAGUAGCUGUGCACUUUGAGUGUUUACAGAGAAAUUGCUUUUAGGGGAAUAUCUUCUGGCUGAUCAAUCUUAUAUCUAAUAUGAGCUUUUUCUUAAGAUCUUUUGAACUUUUUUCUCUCAAAAUAAUCUGGCUCAGAUGGAGAUCUGUUUUUCUCUCCAAUGCUUUGGGUGUCUGUUUCAAAAGCCCUAUUCAUAUCCGAUGGUGUCUACAUGAGGUGGACUUUCAUAGCGAGAACUUUUAGAGCUAUUUCUAUCUGGACUUAUGCUGGAAAUUCAGCAGUAUUUUUUCCAUGUCCCUACUAUAGGUAGAAACUGAGGCUGAAACACUAAUCACAUUCUCAUGAUUGUGAAGGUGUAAUUCUACCCAGGAGGCCUGCAGGCUCUCCUCCUGCAGCUCAGGCCUCACUCUCUGAUGUGACACUAGAGUGCUGCUGUGGCAAAUGGGGUUCAUAUAAAAUGUGAGCUGUGCUCCAGGCUGUGCCUCAGUGGCAGAUGUUAUAGGUCAAGAGAGGACACUAGGCUGGGCGCGGUGGCUCACGCCUGUAAUCCCAGCACUUUGGGAGGCCAAGACGGGCGGAUCACGAGGUCAGGAGAUGGAGACCAUCCUGGCUAAUAUGGUGAAACCCCGUCUCUACUAAAAAUACAAAAAAUUAGCCAGGCCAGGCAUGGUGGCAGGCACCUGUAGUCCCAGCUACUCGGGAGGCUGAGGCAGGAGAAUGGCAUGAACCCAGGAGGCGGAGCUUGGAGUGAGCUGAGAUUGCGCCACUGCACUCCAGCCUGGGCGACAGAGGAAGACUCCGUCUCAAAAAAAAAAAAAAAAAGAGGCCACUAGUAACCAGGAGAAAGCAAGCAGGAGUGCUGUAACCCAAUGCCAGGGAGUACAGAGCCACUGCUCUAAAAUGUAAAUAGCCAAAAAGAUAGAACCCUAUUCAACCAUUUUUGUAGCACAAUGAAAGCCUACCUUCAGAAGGCACCUGGAUUAAAGCUACUAAACUACUUCCUGUUAUGAAGAUGUGAAAAGUUUGUCAUUGAAUAUAAGCAAUUAGCAUACACAGAUGGCCUCUUCAAUCUGUUCAUAGGAUGAACUAUGUAUGACAUGGCGCUGGAAAUUCUUCUAUUUGUGAACUAAUUAUGGUGACCAUCUUUCUGUCUUUGCGAUCCCUUAAGCAGACUGAUGAUGAUGCAUGUCACAAUUAAGUUCAAUUGUGUAAUAAAACCAUUUUCUUUCUGUGCUACUUUUGUGGAGUUUCUCUGGGGCUGGAGAAAAUUUUUCUUUUAAUCAUUUCCAAACACUGUCUAGAAUUACCAGACAUGAUAAAAACACAUAAGGUGCCAACCAGAAUUUACUCUAGAGGGGACUUUUCCUCUCAGGCUUCCAGUCAACUCACAUUUGCACUUCAAAAUGCAUGCUGUCCCCUAAAUAUGGAGGCAGAAUUGUGUCUCUUCCUAUUUGGUAUCUAUAGUCCUCUAGAGUCACUUCUAGAGAGGCUAGACCACAUUUCUACAAACUUCACAGGGCAACAAUCAAUCAUUUUACCUCUAUCAAUGACUCUUGUAUCUUCAGGCCUGAAACUGAUACAAAAACUAUUUAGCCCAGAAACCCAAUCACAGUAACAUGUGCAUUAGUAGACAUAGAGACAUGAGAAUCUCCACGUUCCCCUUUCUCCUCUUGCUAAAGUGCUCACAAAUGUUCAGGUAACAUCUGCUGCUGCUCCAGUCCUUCAGCCCCUAAAUCUGCAGCUCCAAAUUUUGAAUUUAGGUCUUGAGAUUUGGGAAAUAAAAAACUUUUAUCUAAAAAAUGCAAGUCCUUUGGUUAUCAAACUCAGAGACAUGAAAAUGAAAGUGCAGUUAUUUCUCCCUCCUUUGAACUAUGUAUUCAUCUCUUGAAACUGUUCACGAUUGCCAAAAGUAGCUAUAAAUUAAACUAAUAAUGACACGUUGGACACUAUAUCCCAUAUCCUAAACCAUAACUAUAUAUAUCUAAUCAAUAAUAAAUGCUAUUUCUCUAAAUACAUAAAAAUUUCUGACAAACAACUUUGUGUCUACCUACUCUGUUCUUCUCUUGUUAUCUUUACAAAUCCUCUUGUAACUGAUGCCAAUCAAAGUGUAGAUUCCAGACAACUUGAAUCUUUGCUCCCAGAUUAUAAUCCUUCAGCUUGACCCAAAUAAACUGUCUACUUAU